rnacentral:rRNA from 1 species
UACGUAGGGGGCGAGCGUUGUCCGGAUUUAUUGGGCGUAAAGCGCGCGCAGGCGGUUCAUUAAGUCUGGUGUGAAAGCUCCCGGCUCACCUGGGAGAGGGCACUGGAGACUGGUGGACUGGAGCGAGGCAGAGGCCGGUGGAAUUCCCGGUGUAGUGGUGAAAUGCGUAGAGAUCAGGAGGAACACCAGUGGCGAAGGCGGCCGGCUGGGCCUUGACUGACGCUGAGGCGCGACAGCGUGGGGAGCGAACCGG